rnacentral:rRNA from 1 species
UACGGAGGGGGCUAGCGUUGUUCGGAAUUACUGGGCGUAAAGCGCGCGUAGGCGGACCUGCAAGUCGGGGGUGAAAGCCCGAGGCUCAACCUCGGAACUGCCUUCGAUACUGCGGGUCUCGAGUCCGGGAGAGGUGAGUGGAAUUCCUAGUGUAGAGGUGAAAUUCGUAGAUAUUAGGAAGAACACCAGUGGCGAAGGCGGCUCAGCUGGCCCGGUACUGACGCCUCAUGAUGCGGAAAGCGUGGGGA